rnacentral:rRNA from 1 species
CUUAGUACGGCGAGUGAAGCGGUAAAAGCUCAAAUUUGAAAUCUGGUACUUUCAGUGCCCGAGUUGUAAUUUGUAGAAUUUGUCUUUGAUUAGGUCCUUGUCUAUGUUCCUUGGAACAGGACGUCAUAGAGGGUGAGAAUCCCGUUUGGCGAGGAUACCUUUUCUCUGUAAGACUUUUUCGAAGAGUCGAGUUGUUUGGGAAUGCAGCUCAAAGUGGGUGGUAAAUUCCAUCUAAAGCUAAAUAUUGGCGAGAGACCGAUAGCGAACAAGUACAGUGAUGGAAAGAUGAAAAGAACUUUGAAAAGAGAGUGAAAAAGUACGUGAAAUUGUUGAAAGGGAAGGGCAUUUGAUCAGACAUGGUGUUUUUUGCAUGCACUCGCCUCUCGUGGGCUUGGGCCUCUCAAAAAUUUCACUGGGCCAACAUCAAUUCUGGCAGCAGGAUAAAUCAUUAAGAAUGUAGCUACUUCGGUAGUGUUAUAGCUUUUUGGAAUACUGUUAGCCGGGAUUGAGGACUGCGCUUCGGCAAGGAUGUUGGCAUAAUGGUUAAAUGCCGCCCGUCUUGAAC